rnacentral:tRNA from 1 species
GUCGUGGUGGCUUAGCGGUAAAGAGCUAGACUUCCGAACCAAGGUUCCGGGUUCGAAUCCUGGUGAAGACA